rnacentral:rRNA from 1 species
AUGAUAGAGCUUUUGCUUGCAAAAGGAGCUUAUGUUGACCCGGUAUCUGCUCGUGGAACACCACUUCAUGGUGCUGCUGGUGAAGGGCAUUAUGGUGCUGUGAAGAUUUUAUUGGACCACAAUGCAGAUUACAACAAGAUGGUAAAUGGUGUGACACCUCUUAUGGCUGCUAGAGAUGCCAACUCAGCAGAAUGUAUCAAGCUCCUAGUUAAGGUUCAGGAGGAGCCUAUGCUUAAACGGGAAAUCGCGGCAUCAGAGCUUAUAUCACUAGGGAGUAUCUCUUUAAAGAAAAAAGAUUAUGUUGUCGCAGCAAAAUUGUACAGUCAGGCAAUGCAGCUUGAUCCUGAUGACGCAGUCUUGUUCUCAGACAGGAGCCUUUGUUGGCUUAACAUGGGGAAUGGAAGGAAGGCUUUGCUAGAUGCUAAUAAAUGCAGAAAAAUGCGGCCUCAUUGGCCAAAAGCUUGUCACCGGCAGGGUGAAGCUCUGAUGCUACUGAAGGACUAUGAAGGCGCAAGUGAACGGUUCUUGGAUGGACUCAAAUUGGACCCAGUGGACAGUGAUAUCGAGGAUGCAUUACGGUAA